CCGUUUUCUAAAGAUCUCAAAUACAGAAUAGACAGUCAACGAAGAAACAGCUCGAGCUUAGUCCAUGUCCAUGGGAAACGGAGAAGCUCCGUCGGAAAUAACACUAGAAGAAUGGAGCGGAACGGCGUCGUCUAAGUUCUUCAAAACAGCUACGAUCACGGCCAACUCAUCUACCCACUUUGCUGUUCAAAGACACGGCUCUCGCUUUCAUCACAUUUCCAACAGAUUUCUUGAAGCUUUUGUCCCUGAGGGAUUUCCGAACAGUGUGACACCGGAUUAUGUGCCGUUUCAAGUUUGGGACUUGUUACAGGGCCUUUCGACUUACGUGAGGAUGAUGCUUUCCACACAAGCUCUUUUGAGUGCUAUUGGAGUUGGUGAAAAAUCAGCUACUGUAAUUGGGGCCACAUUUCAGUGGUUUUUAAGGGAUUUAAGUGGAAUGCUCGGAGGUAUCUUAUUCACAUUCUACCAGGGUUCUAACCUGGAUAGCAAUGCUAAGAUGUGGCGUUUGGUUGCAGAUCUCAUGAAUGACCUUGGAAUGCUGAUGGACCUUGUUUCUCCUCUCUUCCCCUCUGCAUUUAUAUUUAUAGUCUGCAUAGGGAGCUUGUCAAGAUCUUUCACUGGUGUUGCAAGUGGAGCAACUCGGGCUGCUUUAACACAGCAUUUUGCCCUCCAGAAUAAUUCAGCGGAUAUAUCUGCCAAGGAAGGAAGCCAAGAGACGGUUGCGACCAUGGCCGGGAUGGCUAUAGGAAUGCUUAUUGCCCACAUCACAAUGGGGCAGCCAAUUGCUAUCUGGUUUUCCUUUUUGUCUCUUACCAUGUUCCAUAUGUAUGCAAACUACAAGGCUGUCAGGUGCUUGUCACUAACUACGUUAAAUUGUGAAAGAAGCUCAAUUCUUUUAUGGCACUAUGUGGAGACUGGCCAAACUAUGUGGACUGGUUGCCAGUUCUUUCUCCAAAACAGGUCUCAGUCAUGGAACAUGUUUUACCACUAUGGAUCACUUCGUGGACCUCAAGGAAGUUCACUUAUUUGUACACACGGGUACACUUGGGUGUCAGGAUCUCCUCAGUUGAUCACCUUGAAUUGAAAGAGCUUAUACAAUUAGCCGGAUCACAUUACAAGAAAGCCAAGUACUUGCUGCAUGAAAAACGAGGAGUCAUCAGCAUUAUUAUGCAUAAAGACUCAACAGCUGGAGAUGUCUUGCAGGCAUACAUUCAUGCUCUUGUCAUGGCACAUCUUGUUGAAAAAGGAAGCUCUGUCUACUUGGAGAGUCAGUCAUGGAUGGAUAAACAUUACAAAGUGUUUUCCCUCAAGCUACGAUCAUCAGGCUGGAAACUGGAACGCCUUUUGACACCAUCAAUUAUAUGGAGGGCACAUUGGAGACGUGAUUGUUUGGAUGAAAAGACCGAGUGAAGAAUUUGAGCAGGAUAAUCUUGUUAGCACAGCAGUAAUAGUAGGAAAUAGGAAGUUCUGGAGAUUGAGCGCAGCAGUUCUUGGUUGAUGUACGACUGGUAAAGAAAAAUGAUCUUUAGCAUUCGUACUUGAGACUUUGUACUUUGAUCUGCUUUUCUCUCUUCUGCGAGGGAAGCAUCUUUACUUGUAUUAUUAUAACGGUGCAAGCUUUGCCAAGUAAUGUUCUCCAGUUUUAUUAUUACAGAUUUACAGUGCUGCUUCUAUGUGCAGUAUACUCUAUAUUCAAUAUUCUAUUAUUAGUAAUAAAAAGACUCUUCUGACA